rnacentral:rRNA from 1 species
UACGGGGGGGGCAAGCGUUGUUCGGAAUUACUGGGCGUAAAGGGCUCGUAGGCGGCCAACUAAGUCGGAUGUGAAAUCCCCAGGCUUAACCUGGGAACUGCAUCCGAUACUGGAUGGCUUGAAUUCGGGAGAGGGAUGCAGAAUUCCAGGUGUAGCGGUGAAAUGCGUAGAUAUCUGGAGGAAUACCGGUGGCGAAGGCGGCAUCCUGGACCGGUAUUGACGCUGAGGCGCGAAAGCCAGGGGAGCAAACGGG